AACGCGAAGAACCUUACCUAAGCUUGACAUCCCACUGACCUCUCCCUAAUCGGAGAUUUCCCUUCGGGGACAGUGGUGACAGGUGGUGCAUGGUUGUCGUCAGCUCGUGUCGUGAGAUGUUGGGUUAAGUCCCGCAACGAGCGCAACCCUUGUCUUUAGUUGCCAUCAUUAAGUUGGGCACUCUAGAGAGACUGCCGAGGAUAACUCGGAGGAAGGUGGGGAUGACGUCAAAUCAUCAUGCCCCUUAUGCUUAGGGCUACACACGUGCUACAAUGGGUGGUACAGAGGGCAGCCAAGUCGUGAGGCGGAGCUAAUCCCUUAAAGCCAUUCUCAGUUCGGAUUGUAGGCUGAAACUCGCCUACAUGAAGCUGGAGUUACUAGUAAUCGCAGAUCAGAAUGCUGCGGUGAAUGCGUUCCCGGGUCUUGUACACACCG
rnacentral:rRNA from 1 species